rnacentral:lncRNA from 1 species
AAUUGGUAGGAGGCAGCGUGCCUGUAAAUACUGUGCUAAUCACUGCAGGUUCAUCAGGACUCUGAUGCCUAAUUGGCUGCGGGAUCGGUGUAACCCUCCCGAAGCCUGAUCCGGAGCACGAGGAAUUGUUGAAUCUCCAUAAUAAAGCGGCCGUGCUGGAAGGACACAGGAUGAAAAAGCUGAUUUCUGGAGCAUAAGGAGCAUUUGAAAGGAGACCUGAAGAACAGCCACGGUACAUCUCUGGAGUGUUUUGUAAGAAGGUCCUAAAAUUGUGGAUUUCUCGUAAUCACCCACAGCUUUGCUCCCCCUGGAUUAUCCAGGUGAAUUUGGCCUUUGCAGCUGUCCUGGAAGUUCAGCCUUACACAGAACGUGGCCAUUGAGUCAGGUGGUGAUUUUGGUCCCUUUGAUCCAUAAAUU